rnacentral:misc_RNA from 1 species
UUUCCGUAGGUGAACCUGCGGAAGGAUCAUUCAUAAUAAGUGUUUUAUGGCACUUUUUUAAAUCCAUAUCCACCUUGUGUGCAAUGUCAGGGUUGAUUUUUCUCUCGAGAGGAUCAGCCCCAAACAUCAACUAUAUCUCAACUCUUUGUCUGAAAAAAUAUUAUGAAUAAAACAAUUCAAAAUACAACUUUCAACAACGGAUCUCUUGGCUCUC